rnacentral:lncRNA from 1 species
GACGCGUGCGUGGGCGGGGCGCGGGGCGCAGGCGCCGUGCUCCGGCGCGCGUGGGCCUGGAGGCGGGGCUCUAACCCUGAGUCCGGUGCUAGCCUAGCCAGCCGGCUUAGUUCCCUAGGCUCCCUGACGCCCUGGUUUUCGCCCUUCUCCAGAUGUGGCGGCGACGGGGUGGCAGACCUCAAGCGCAUUCUUUCUGUGGGCUGCCUGGGGCCCGGCCGCUCUGCUAGCCAAGCCGGCCUUGUUGAGCGCUGCCCUCCCCGAGACCCCGGCGCGGUUAGUGCUCUCCCCCAGCUCUUGCUGUCGAGCAGAAUAGGCCCAGGAAACUGCGUCGUGGUGUGAUGCCAGUCAUCUCUGAAAAGAGGGCAGCAUAAAAUUAGCAGUUGGAGCACCCUCAGCCCGCACACCUCUGCCCCUAGAGCCCUAGCAAUACAACGUUGUGUGGUCCUCAACUCUGGAAUCUGGACUGGACCUGUGACUCGAUUAACCAAUAGAAGGAUGUGGUGGAAGUGACCAUGUGCCAGCUCCACCUCCAAGCUUAAUACCAGCCUUCAUUUUGAGCUCUUGAUAAUUCUGAGCUGUUCCCCAUCUUCUACUUUACUAUAGAGAGACCACAUGCAGAGACCACAUGAGAGGGAAAGGCCCUGCGACUACAUGGAGGAAAAGUAGGGACCCAUGUAUCACCAAGAACUGAGACCCUAGACACGUGAACCUGGUGGACCCUUCCCAGCUUUGGGACCAGUCAUUGAGGGAAGAAGCCUUCUAGGUUGUUGCAGCCAUCUGGGCUGUUCCUCAUUGCCUAGAACAGAGACGAGUCUCUCCUACUGUGCUUUAGCCAGAAUCCUGAGAAACGAUUAACUAGCUGCUGUUUUAAACCUCUAAGUUUUGUAAAAGUUUAUUACUCAGCACUAGAUAACCAGUACAUUGUCCAGCAUAAGCCUCGUGCUGUGAGGAAUACUUAAUGGCAACUAUCUCAGAGAUUGGGCACCUUGCAGUCCCUGGGAAACAAAGAAAGCCCCUCAUGUAUCUGUGGAGCCUGUCAGCUUUACCUCAGAGCACAGAAUUCUAAGAUUCUAGGAUAAACUCCCUUACUCAUACCCAGGUCGUGACGUUCCUCACUCUGCAUCCCUUUCAAGCCUGGUGAAGCUGAACUGCACAACAGCCUCAUCCCCACAUCUCCACACACAGAUCCCUCCUAUGCCUCCCAAACCCAUUGUUUGGCCUAGCGCUGGCAUUCUGGUUUGCAGGUUAUGUUUUGCUGCACUGUCUCAUGUGGGGCUAUGUAGGAUGAGGUAGGGAAAUGAAAGACAUGGCCCUACCCUC